rnacentral:snRNA from 1 species
GCACUUUUUGUUGGGAGCAAUCUUGAAUAGUCUUGGGCUUCGUCCACGUGUUCAUUUUCAGCUGACACAGUGAUGGCAGGAAGUGCUGACCCCUGCAAUUUCCUCAAAUGUGAGAAACUUGAUUGCGUAAUUUGUGGCUGUAAAUGGCUGCACUCCAGAUGCAGCCACUUC